rnacentral:rRNA from 1 species
UACGUAGGGUGCAAGCGUUGUCCGGAAUUAUUGGGCGUAAAGAGCUCGUAGGCGGUCUGUUGCGUCGGCUGUGAAAACCCGGGGCUCAACUCCGGGCCUGCAGCCGAUACGGGCAGACUAGAGUUCGGCAGGGGAGACUGGAAUUCCUGGUGUAGCGGUGAAAUGCGCAGAUAUCAGGAGGAACACCGGUGGCGAAGGCGGGUCUCUGGACAGUUCCUGACACUGAGGCACGAAGGCCAGGGGAGCGAAACAGGG